rnacentral:rRNA from 1 species
GGAAUAUUGCACAAUGGGGGAAACCCUGAUGCAGCAACGCCGCGUGGAGGAUGAAGGUUUUCGGAUUGUAAACUCCUGUCAAGAGGGAAGAAAGACCUACGAGUAAUAUGCGUAGGAGAUGACGGUACCUCUUAAGAAAGCUCCGGCUAACUUCGUGCCAGCAGCCGCGGUAAUACGAAGGGGGCGAGCGUUAUUCGGAAUCACUGGGCGUAAAGGGUGCGUAGGUGGCAAUUUAAGUCAGUUGUUAAAAAUUACGGCUUAACCGUAAAGGUGCGAUUGAUACUGGAUAGCUAGAGGACAAGAGAGAGAAGUGGAAUUCCCGGAGUAGCGGUAAAAUGCGUAGAUCUCGGGAGGAACACCAAUUGCGAAGGCAGCUUCUUGGCUUGUUACUGACACUGAGGCACGAAAGCGUGGGGAGCA